UUUUGAAUUGGCUAUUUUUAGGCUACUUUUUAGGAAACUUUUGGUUACGAAAGCUAGUGACAUCUGGCAACGCUGAAAUUGAAAAUGUCUCGUGUUCGUUAUUUUACUUUGAGUUACUUUUAACUGUAGAAGUAGAAUAUAUGCUGUGAGGAAGAAGUGGGUUUUCUUUCAUAUUCAUUAUAAAUUUUCUGUGAUUAUAUUUUCAUAAAAUUUUAAGAAUGUUUCUUCUAAGUGUGACAAAAUUUUUUAAAAAAUUCAAAAAAUUGUGUUUGAUUUUAAUACUUUGUGAUUAUCACAUCAAAUAUCAUAAUAAUGGAAUGAUACGAUAAAUAUGUAUUAAUUACUGUGAAAUUCAAGGAAUUGCAGUGAUCAGAACAUGUAGAUGAAUUAUCAAGCAGCUUGGGUUUAAAUUUGUAUGGAUGCAAGAAAAUUCAUUAUUGUGUAGUACUUUCUUAACAGAAUUAUCAAUGCACCAUCACGUUGCCAUUAAGAUAAUGUAAGAACUAUGGAACUGCAGAACUAUACAAUUGAGGAAUAUGAUUGAUUUUGAAAUUACUAACAGAAUUUGUUCAUAAUGCCCACUUAGUAAUUAAUGUUGGAUUCAGGUCUAGAAUAUGCUAAU
rnacentral:lncRNA from 1 species